rnacentral:rRNA from 1 species
GACGAACGCUGGCGGCGUGGAUUAGGCAUGCAAGUCGAACGGUAUCAUCCUUUCGGGGGUGAGAGAGUGGCGAACUGGUGAGUAACACGUAGGUUAUCUACCCUCAAGACGGGGACAACCCAGGGAAACUUGGGCUAAUACCGGGAUGUGAGCAACUUUUAGUUGUUUGAAAGGUGGCGUAAGCUGUCGCUUGGGGAUGAGCCUGCGUCCUAUUAGUUAGUUGGUGAGGUAACGGCUCACCUAGGCAAUGAUAGGUAGGCGGCCUUAACGGGUGGUCGCCCACACUGGGAUUGAGAUACGGCCCAGACUCCUACGGGAGGCAGCAGUCGAGAAUAGGUCUACAAUGGUCGGAAGACUGAUAGUGCGACGCCGCGUGAACGAUGAAUCCCUUCGGGGUGUAAAGUUCUUUUAUAUGUGAGCAGUGCUUCUAUAUUAACAGUAUGGGAGAGAGAUAUUAGCAUAUGAAUAAGCAACGGCUAACUCCGUACCAGCAGCCGACGGU